rnacentral:rRNA from 1 species
CCUACGUGGGGCAGCAGUGAGGAAUAUUGGUCAAUGGGCGCGAGCCUGAACCAGCCAAGUAGCGUGAAGGAUGACUGCCCUACGGGUUGUAAACUUCUUUUAUAAAGGAAUAAAGUGAGGCACGUGUGCCUUUUUGUAUGUACUUUAUGAAUAAGGAUCGGCUAACUCCGUGCCAGCAGCCGCGGUAAUACGGAGGAUACGAGCGUUAUCCGGAUUUAUUGGGUUUAAAGGGAGCGUAGAUGGGUUGUUAAGUCAGUUGUGAAAGUUUGCGGCUCAACCGUAAAAUUGCAAGUGAUACUGGCAGUCUUGAGUACAGUUGAGGUAGGCGGAAUUCGUGGUGUAGCGGUGAAAUGCUUAGAUAUCACGAAGAACUCCGAUUGCGAAGGCAGCUUACUAAACUGCCACUGACAUUGAUGCUCGAAAGUGUGGGUAUCAAACAGGAUUAGAUACCCGAGUAGUC